rnacentral:tRNA from 1 species
ACUUAGAUAACUUAAAAUUAUAGAGUAUUAUAUUGAAGAUAUAAAAGUGAUGUUAUAUCUCUGAGUA